rnacentral:rRNA from 1 species
CUUAGCCCUAAACAUAGACAGCACACACACAAUGCUGUCCGCCAGAGAACUACAAGUGAAAAACUAGAAACUCCAAGGACUUGGCGGUGCUCCACACCGACCUAGAGGAGCCUGUCCUAUAAUCGAUAAUCCACGCUAUACCUCACCACCCCUUGCAACUCAGCCUAUAUACCGCCGUCGUCAGCUUACCCUAUGAAGGAAACAAAGUAAGCAAAAUAGUUUAUAACUAAAACGUCAGGUCAAGGUGUAGCACAUGGGGUGGAAGAGAUGGGCUACACUUUCUGCCACAGAACACACGAACAGCACAAUGAAAUUAGUGCUCAAAGGCGGAUUUAGCAGUAAGAAAAACAAGACAAUUUUUCUGAAGUUCGCUCUGGAGCGCGCACACACCGCC